GAGCAUCAAUCCCCGUCUUCAUCUUAUGCUAGUAUAUUUGAAAAGCUGGAUGUAUCCGAGGCAGCUGAAUUGGAUGAGAGUUUUGAUGAGGUGCCUCCUGGUAUGGAGACUGGCUCAGCUUCUGUGGUGGUCAUGGACAAAAACAAAUACCGACCUUCAAAAUCAAUCAACUCUAUGCCUGGAAUUUCUAGAUAUAUCACCGUGGCUAUCUGCAGGCAGACACUGCAUAAGAAUGUUAUAGAAGAGUGGACAUCUCUCCUGUCAGAUACUAUCAGCGAGUGCCUUGAUUCAUGGUAUACCAAGCAGACUGUUGUGCCUAAAAACAUCGACAGAUCAUUGGGACCUAGUAAAGAAUAUGCCUACUACAGAAAGAGACAGUUAAGGAACAGCUGUGAAGCAGUGUCAUCCGAAAAAGCAGUGGGAACUCCAAUGGAUGAGCAGCUUUCCAAGCCUCUAUGUGAGCUUGUCGAGCGCAAGGUGCAUCUUAAAAAUGUCCAGGAACCAAGGAUGGCCGGGAAGUCGAAAAAGUCCUCCAAGAGUCGUACCAAAACUCUUGAUAAUAUUGUAAACACUUCGAAUAUUGAACAAGGCUUGAAACGGAUUUCCAAUGAUGUGCCAAAGACCCCCAAGAGUCGUGCCAAAACUCUUGAUAAUGAUGUAAACCCUUUGAAUAUCGAACAAGGCUUGAAGCGGCUUUCCAAUGAUGUGCCAAAGGCCUUCAAGAGUCGUACAAAAACUCUUGAUAAUGCUGUAAACCCUUUAAAUAUCCAACAAGGCUUGAAGCGUCUUUACAAUGAUGUGCCUAAGGCCUCCAAGAGUCGUACCAAAACUCUUGAUAAUGCUGUGAAUCCUUUGAAUAUCGAACAAGGCUUGAAGCGGCUUUCCAAUGAUGUGCCAAAGACCUCCAAGAGUCGUGCCAAAACUCUUGAUAAUGUUGUAAACCCUUUGAAUAUCGAACAGGACUUGAAGCAGCUUUCCAAUGAUGUGCCAAAGACCUCCAAGAGUCGUACCAAAACUCUUCAUAAUAUUGUAAACCCUUUGAAUAUCGAACAGGACUUGAAGCGGCUUUCCGAUGAUGUGCCAAAGACCUCCAAGAGUCGUACCAAAACUCUUGAUAAUAUUGUAAACCCUUUGAAUAUCGAACAGGACUUGAAGCAGCUUUCCAAUGAUGUGCCAAAGAGUAAGCAUUUUAAUCCUAUUUGCUUCAUCCCCUGUAAAUUUGCAUAGAUUAAUCACAUGCAUCAUCUUUCUCUUCUAGGACAAAGGACUUCUCAUCUUACUAGGAAGCCUUUGGUUGAUAAUAAGGUUCCUUUUGAGAACGUUAGUGUGCCCACAAAGCUGGCAAAGAAAAGAAAGAACAAGAACAUGUCUACUGACUCCAGUCAGAAGGCAAAACCAUUGAUUUUAUGUCCAGAGUCAGAUGGCUGUGCAAGAGCUUCCUCCAAUGGGUGGGAGUGGCGUAAUUGGGCACGCACCGCCACUCCAUCAGAAAGGACUCGUGUGAGAGGGUACCGUGUUCGGAGUAUUCUUUCAACUUCAGCUAAUAAUGUGUGGAAAAAUCCGCAAGUUAAAGGUACAUCUGCACGAACAAAUCGCGUUAAAUUACGAAACCUGUUAGCUGCUUCUGAAGGCACCGAGCUACUAAAAAUUACCCAAUCAAAGGUAAACAAAUCAUUGCAUGUACACAAGUUUCUCUUGCCAUGACAGUUUGAAUGACCACUGACUCUACCUUUGGCAUAUAGGCAAGGAAGAAGCGGUUACGUUUUCAAAGGAGCAAGAUCCAUGAAUGGGGUCUGGUGGCCCUUGAGUCAAUUGAUGCAGAAGAUUUCGUUAUUGAAUAUGUUGGUGAACUGAUUCGCCGGCCGGUAAUUUUGUUAUCCUUGAAUCCAAGAUAUCCC
rnacentral:lncRNA from 1 species